GAUAAACGCUAGCGGCAGGCCUAACACAUGCAAGUCGAGGGGCAGCGUGGAAGUAGUUUACUACUUCUGACGGCGACCGGCGCACGGGUGCGUAACGCGUAUGCAACCUACCUAUAACAGGGGGAUAAUUCCGAGAAAUUGGUUCUAAUACCCCAUACUAUAUUGAAUGGCAUCCUUUGAUAUUGAAAGUUCCGGCGGUUAUAGAUGGGCAUGCGUUGUAUUAGCUAGUUGGUGAGGUAACGGCUCACCAAGGCGACGAUACAUAGGGGGACUGAGAGGUUAGCCCCCCACACUGGUACUGAGACACGGACCAGACUCCUACGGGAGGCAGCAGUGGGGAAUAUUGCACAAUGGAGGGAACUCUGAUGCAGCAACGCCGCGUGAAGGAAGAAGGUUUUCGGAUCGUAAACUUCUAUCGACAGGGACGAAAAGAAUGACGGUACCUGAGUAAGAAGCCCCGGCUAACUACGUGCCAGCCGCCGCUGUAAUAC
rnacentral:rRNA from 1 species